rnacentral:rRNA from 1 species
AUUGAACGCUGGCGGCAGGCCUAACACAUGCAAGUCGAGCGGAUGAAGGGAGCUUGCUCCUGGAUUCAGCGGCGGACGGGUGAGUAAUGCCUAGGAAUCUGCCUGGUAGUGGGGGAUAACGUCCGGAAACGGGCGCUAAUACCGCAUACGUCCUGAGGGAGAAAGUGGGGGAUCUUCGGACCUCACGCUAUCAGAUGAGCCUAGGUCGGAUUAGCUAGUUGGUGGGGUAAAGGCCUACCAAGGCGACGAUCCGUAACUGGUCUGGGAGGAUGAUCAGUCACACUGGAACUGAGACACGGUCCAGACACCUACGGGAGGCAGCAGUGGGGAAUAUUGGACAAUGGGCGAAAGCCUGAUCCAGCCAUGCCGCGUGUGUGAAGAAGGUCUUCGGAUUGUAAAGCACUUUAAGUUGGGAGGAAGGGCAGUAAGUUAAUACCUUGCUGUUUUGACGUUACCAACAGAAUAAGCACCGGCUAACUUCGUG